rnacentral:rRNA from 1 species
UACGUAGGGGGGCAAGCGUUGUCCGGAAUCAUUGGGCGUAAAGCGCGCGUAGGCGGCCCGGUAAGUCCGCUGUAAAAGUCCAGGGCUCAACCCUGGAAAGCCGGUGGAUACUGCGAGGCUAGAGUGCGGAAGAGGCGAGUGGAAUUCCUGGUGUAGCGGUGGAAUGCGCAGAUAUCAGGAGGAACACCAAUAGCGAAGGCAGCUCGCUGGGACGUUACUGACACUGAGGCGCGAAAGCGUGGGGAGCGAACAGG